rnacentral:misc_RNA from 1 species
UACGGAGGGCGCGAGCGUUGUUCGGAAUCAUUGGGCGUAAAGCGCACGUAGGCGGCCCGGUAAGUCUCACUGUGAAAGCCUGGGGCUCAACCCCAGGAGGCCAGGGGAUACUGUCGGGCUGGAGACAAGCAGAGGUUGGUGGAAUUCCGGGUGUAGCGGUGGAAUGCGUAGAGAUCCGGAGGAACACCUGAGGCGAAGGCGGCCAACUGGGCUUGAUCUGACGCUGAGGUGCGAAAGCGUGGGGAGCGAACAGG